UAUUUUGGAACAGGUUAAUCUGCUGCAGUUGAAUUAAUGAAUGCUUCUGAGUUAGCUAUUAUCAUUUUUUUCCUACAUAUUCUUAAAGAUGAGAACAUUGAGUUUCAGAGAAAAUUACUGACUUCCAAUUAGAACACAAAUUAACACAUGACAGACAAGAAAAGAACACAAUUCUAUUGGUCCUGAGUGCAAAGCCAUGAAGACAGUUUGUAGUGAAACUCACUUCACCAAGGGAGAAGUGCAGAAGAGGAUGCAUGAAAAGUCCUUUAGGAGUAUGUGAGACUGGAUAAUACAGUUUUCAAUGUGCUACCUUAUCAAGUAAUUUUGUCCAGCUAAAGAGCAAGAAAGAGAGCUUGGCCUAUUAAACAACUGACUCAUUAGAUGAACAAAAGAGAGUUACCCUAGAAAAUCAUCUUUGGCAGGCAAAGACUGGACAUAUCCUGAUAUAUUCUGUAUCUUUCCAAAAAGGAAAAACUGACAGAGAAAUAUUCCAAAUGGAAAGAUGACACCCUUUCUGUGGGGGAGAAAUAAGAGGUGAGCAGGAAGAUGGCAGAGGUCAGAGAGGAGUGCGAGUUCCAGGAGCUGUCCCUUACAGGCAGUACAUAUAAUUGCGAAGCAGAAAAUGGCUCUUUCUGCCUUUUCAGAAGAUAUUGGAAAAUUGAGGGUUAAAUUACUGAGCAUUAUGUACGCUGCACUGACUCGGCAAAACUCAUGCACAGAAUUUGUUACUCCUCCUAGGAAAUACACUCUCAGGCGAACUGGAACC